AAGAAAAGAGUGAGAGCUUAAAAAACGAGAGUUUUUUUUUAUAUAAACCAAGAAGGUUUAUAAGAAACUGUGAGGGUUUCAAAAAUAGAGAGAAAAUUUUGUGGGUACUUUCGAGAGAAAGUGAGUAAAAAAAAUACUGAGAGUAUUUUUUACUUGUAUUUUCUCUAAAACAGUUACUAGUGAAAUUCUCAGCACUGCCUCUGCACGGGGACGUAGCCUAGUUGGGUGAACCUCGAUAACAAAUUUCUGGCGUAUUUUUCUUUUCAUUUUGUUUGCUGCAAUACUAUCGUUGUAGUGUGGGUAAUUUUUUACCAACAAUUGGUAUCAGAGCCAGGUUAUC
rnacentral:lncRNA from 1 species